rnacentral:tRNA from 1 species
GCCGUCAUGGCCCAGGGGCACAAGCGUCCAGCUGUAGACGAGAUGGUCAUGGGUACGAUUCUCACUCGGGGCA